rnacentral:rRNA from 1 species
AAGCUAAACGUAGAUGGAACACAGUAUGUGGUCACUGAAUAUUUUGACGAGCACAACCACAGUCUCAUAAAGAAGUUCGACCUGGUCAAAUUUCUGACCGCCCACAGAGGAUUCACCCCAGUCGAAAGGCAAUUUGUAAAGCUGCUACAUGACUGUAACGUCGGUCCAUCGAGAAUGGUCCAGAUACUAUCACUCAUCCACAGCAAAAAGGGGAAACUGAGUAGCAUGCCCUACAUACCAGCUGACGUCACAAACCUACAGGCCAAGUACCGUAGAGAGAGCAGGCUGGCUGACAUAGAGGCUACAAUUGCCUACUUCGAUGAGAAAGCAAAGGAAGAUCCAGAUUUCUUCUACAGGAUAAGGUUGGACGAUGAGGACCGUGUCAGGAACAUGUAUUGGGUGGAUGGUGCUGCAAGGAGAGCCUACAAACAUUUCCGAUAUUGCAUUUCAUUCGACGCGACGUACCUCAUCAAUAUGUACAAGAUGCCAUGCGCUCCGUUCAUAGGAAUAAAUAACCACAAUCAGUCGUUGCAGUUCGGCUGCGGGCUCGUUCGGAACGAAGACACGGAUGGGUACGUCUGGUUGUUCAAGACCUUCUUGGAGUGCAUGGAUGGACUUGCUCCGAUGAACAUAAUAACAUACCAGGAUUUUAGCAUGCGUGCAGGCAUAGAGGGGAUCUUUCCGUUGGCAGUGCACAGAAACUGCAGGUGGCACAUAAUAAAGAAGGCUGAGGAGACCCUAGAGUUUGAAAGGAGCUGGAUGGCCAUGGUUGAAACGCAUCAAGUCCAAGACAAUGAGACGCUUGCUAGUCUGUGGGAGAAGCGAAUGUACUGGGUGCCCGCCUACUUCAUGCAGUGCUUCUUCCCUUUUCUACAGACUACGUAGCGCAGCGAGGGGUUCAAUGCUGUGUUGAAGCGAUACGUGAGCCCUGGCAACUCAUUGCUACAGUUUGCCAAGCAGUACACGGCUCUGCAACAGAAAAUUCUGGGAUCUGAGCUGCAGCAAGAAGCUACCACCGUGCUAAAGCAGCCGAAAUUGCUAACGUAAGAGGCAAAUGAGCAAGAUAUACACAAACAAGAUCUUUAACAAGUAAAACCUGAAAACCCAGACAAGGGAAGGAACUACUUCGUGAAAGCCUCGAUAGGCGAAGGCGAGUACUACUGCCAAUGCUGCAAGUUCGAACGGGACGGCAUUGUGUGUUGUCACAUACUAAAAAUGAUGGACAUGAACGCUGUGACACGGAUGCCCCGCCAUUUCAUAAGGCGACGAUGGACUUGGGACGCUGACGAUGCGUUGGCGCCGCAGACAACACACGCGGUUCUGGCUGUGCAUGACGAGAGACCUGAGUCAACCAUGGAAGCCGUGAGGCACGUAGUGCUGACAAAGAACUAUGCUUAG